UGGGGUGUAGAUGAGUGGCAGAGCACUUCCCUAGCAUGGGCAGGGGCCUGGGUUCAAUGCCCAGCACUGCAA
rnacentral:tRNA from 1 species